rnacentral:tRNA from 1 species
UGCCGGCGCGCGGCGGCCGGGGUGCGUUCGCGUCGCGCCCGACGGACGUCGACUGGCGCGGCACGCGGUUCGGAGCCCGUUCCGGCGAC